AACGAAUAGUCUUCCAAACUUGAAGGUUGUUGAUAUUGGAUCCAAAUCUGGACUUACCUCCUCCCUUUAUAAGGGUAGAAUCUAGUUAGCAGUAUGCAUUUGAAGAAUAGAACAACUCCGCACCAGACAGAUCCAUCUAUCAGUGCUUCUAAUCCAUUGAUAUAUGCAGCAGAAUCUUCAUCCAUUAGUCCCUCUUCCAGCAGUAUGGAUCACUUGUAUCCUUCAAAUAGGACAUCCUAGU
rnacentral:misc_RNA from 1 species